rnacentral:rRNA from 1 species
AUUGAACGCUGGCGGCAGGCCUAACACAUGCAAGUCGAGCGGAGCGGCCGACGGGUGAGUAAUGCCUAGAAAUCUGCCUGCUAGUGGGGGCUAGCGUCCGGAAACGGGCGCUAACUCCGCAUACUCUCAGAUGAACCUAUUUCGGAGUAGCUAGUUGGUGGGUUAAAGGACUAACAAGGCGACGAUCCGUAACUGGUUUGAGUGGAUGAUUAGGCACACUGGGACUGAGACACGGGCCAGACUCCUACGGGAGGCAGCAGUGGGGAAUAUUGGACAAUGGGCGAAAGCCUGAUCCAGCCAUGCCGCGUGUGUGAAGAAGGUCGUCGGAUUGUAAAGCACUUUAAGUUGGGAGGCGUUACCAACAGAAGAAGCACCGGCUAACGGCGUGCCAGCAGCCGCGGUAAUAC